rnacentral:rRNA from 1 species
UACGGGAGGCAGCAGUGGGGAAUAUUGCACAAUGGGCAAAGCCUGAUGCAGCUAUGCCGCGUGUAUGAAGAAGGCCUUAGGGUUGUAAAGUACUUUCAUCGGGGAGGAAAAACAAAACUAAUAAUUUUAUUUCUUGACGUUACCCGAAAAAGAAGCACCGGCUAACUCCGUGCCAGCAGCCGCGGUAAUACGGAGGGUGCUAGCGUUAAUCAGAAUUACUGGGCGUAAAGAGCACGUAGGUGGUUUUUUUAAAGUCAGAUGUGAAAUCCCUGGGCUUAACCUAGGAACUGCAUUUUGAAACUGAAAUACUAGAGUAUCGUAGAGGGAGGUAGAAUUCUAGGUGUAGCGGUGAAAUGCGUAGAUAUCUGGAGGAAUACCUGUGGCGAAAGCGGCCUCCUAAACGAAUACUGACACUGAGGUGCGAAAGCGUGGGGAGCAAAACAGGGAUUAGAUACC